rnacentral:rRNA from 1 species
CGGACCGGCGCACGGGUGAGUAACACGUAUCCAACCUGCCGUCUACUCUUGGACAGCCUUCUGAAAGGAAGAUUAAUACAAGAUGGCAUCAUGAGUCCGCAUGUUCACAUGAUUAAAGGUAUUCCGGUAGACGAUGGGGAUGCGUUCCAUUAGAUAGUAGGCGGGGUAACGGCCCACCUAGUCUUCGAUGGAUAGGGGUUCUGAGAGGAAGGUCCCCCACAUUGGAACUGAGACACGGUCCAAACUCCUACGGGAGGCAGCAUG